CUGCUUGCUUCAGCACAUAUACUAAAAUUGGAAUGAUACAGAGAAAAUUAGCAUGGCCCUGUGCAAGGAUGACAAGAAAAUUUGUGAAGAAUUCCAUCUUUUU
rnacentral:snRNA from 1 species